rnacentral:rRNA from 1 species
UACGUAGGGUGCAAGCGUUGUCCGGAAUUAUUGGGCGUAAAGAGCUCGUAGGCGGUUCGUCGCGUCGGCUGUGAAAACCCGAGGCUCAACCUCGGGACUGCAGUCGAUACGGGCGGACUGGAGUUCGGCAGGGGAGACUGGAAUUCCUGGUGUAGCGGUGAAAUGCGCAGAUAUCAGGAGGAACACCGGUGGCGAAGGCGGGUCUCUGGGCCGUAACUGACGCUGAGGAGCGAAAGCGUGGGGAGCGAACAGG